AAUAGAGGGCUGGUAUGAAGGGUUUAACGAGGUGUUGACUGUCUCAUUUAAUUUGAUUUUUAGAAUU
rnacentral:tRNA from 1 species